AGGGUAACUACUGGAAACGGUAGCUAAUACCGCAUAAUGUCGCAAGACCAAAGAGGGGGACCUUCGGGCCUCUUGCCAUCGGAUGUGCCCAGAUGGGAUUAGCUUGUUGGUGGGGUAACGGCUCACCAAGGCGACGAUCCCUAGCUGGUCUGAGAGGAUGACCAGCCACACUGGAACUGAGACACGGUCCAGACUCCUACGGGAGGCAGCAUG
rnacentral:rRNA from 1 species